rnacentral:misc_RNA from 1 species
AAAGUCGUAACAAGGUUUCCGUAGGUGAACCUGCGGAAGGAUCAUUAAAUAAUUUGAUUUUAGCCCCCUCGUGGGGUUUAUAAUCUAAAUUUACUGUGAACUGUUUUAUUUUUUAGCGUUUUAAGGGAAUGCUCUUUAGGCCAUAGGGAUAGGCCAAUUGAGAUGUUAACCUAGCUAAAGUCAGGCUUAGGCCUGGUAUCCUAAUUAAUUAUUUACCAAAAGAAUUCAGUAUUAUUAUUGUAACAUAAGCGUAAAAAACUUAUAAAACAACUUUUAACAACGGAUCUCUUGGUUCUC